ACGCCCGCCACGCACAAAGCUCAGAGGAAGAGAGAUUGCGCGAUUGAAAUUGAAAUUGAUCGUUUUAAAUUCAACCUUUUUGUUAAUUCAUUCGAAUAUUGAAGCAGAAGAAGAAGAAGAAGAAGAAGAAUGGCGUUGAAAUUUCUGAACAAGAAGGGAUGGCACACAGGGAGCCUUCGGAACAUAGAGAACGUGUGGAAGGCAGAGCAAAAGCACGAGGCCGAGCAGAAGAAGUUGGACGAGCUCUGCAAACAGAUCGUUGAAGAGCGCAAGAGUGAUUGGAGCGGUUGAAGUUCUUGUAUGAUUUGGGAUUGGCCGUUGGGCGCCCUGGUGGUUCCGAUAGUUUCAAAACCUUUGAAGCCUUACCCAAGACCGAAGAAGCGCCUUCCUCCUCUGCCGCCUCCAAGCAGCAGGCAUCAGCGUCUGUGCCGGGAGCUCUGUUCGAAGAAAAGCCUCAAUCUGCCAAUGAUGCUUGGAGGAAGCUCUACUUGGAUCCUUUGCUUAUGAUAUGGCAGCGUGAGCAGGAAGCCCUUUCUCGUAUUAAGAACAAUCCUGUCCAGAUGGCCAUGAUUCGCAAUUCUGUUGAAGCGAAGAAGCCCGAAGAGAAACUGCAUGACAAGAAGGAACAUCAGAAGAAGAAGCACCAUAAUGGUGCUUCAAAGCAUAGAAAACAUUCAUCAUCCAUACAAGCAUCAGAUUCAGAAAAUGAU